GGGUUGUGAGGUUAAGCGACUAAGCGUACACGGUGGAUGCCCUGGCAGUCAGAGGCGAUGAAGGACGUGCUAAUCUGCGAUAAGCGUCGGUAAGGUGAUAUGAACCGUUAUAACCGGCGAUUUCCGAAUGGGGAAACCCAGUGUGAUUCGUCACACUAUCAUUAACUGAAUCCAUAGGUUAAUGAGGCGAACCGGGGGAACUGAAACAUCUAAGUACCCCGAGGAAAAGAAAUCAACCGAGAUUCCCCCAGUAGCGGCGAGCGAACGGGGAGCAGCCCAGAGCCUGAAUCAGUGUGUGUGUUAGUGGAAGCGUCUGGAAAGGCGUGCGAUACAGGGUGACAGCCCCGUACACAAAAAUGCACAUAUUGUGAGCUCGAUGAGUAGGGCGGGACACGUGGUAUCCUGUCUGAAUAUGGGGGGACCAUCCUCCAAGGCUAAAUACUCCUGACUGACCGAUAGUGAACCAGUACCGUGAGGGAAAGGCGAAAAGAACCCCGGCGAGGGGAGUGAAAAAGAACCUGAAACCGUGUACGUACAAGCAGUGGGAGCACGCUUAGGCGUGUGACUGCGUACCUUUUGUAUAAUGGGUCAGCGACUUAUAUUCUGUAGCAAGGUUAACCGAAUAGGGGAGCCGAAGGGAAACCGAGUCUUAACUGGGCGUUAAGUUGCAGGGUAUAGACCCGAAACCCGGUGAUCUAGCCAUGGGCAGGUUGAAGGUUGGGUAACACUAACUGGAGGACCGAACCGACUAAUGUUGAAAAAUUAGCGGAUGACUUGUGGCUGGGGGUGAAAGGCCAAUCAAACCGGGAGAUAGCUGGUUCUCCCCGAAAGCUAUUUAGGUAGCGCCUCGUGAAUUCAUCUCCGGGGGUAGAGCACUGUUUCGGCAAGGGGGUCAUCCCGACUUACCAACCCGAUGCAAACUGCGAAUACCGGAGAAUGUUAUCACGGGAGACACACGGCGGGUGCUAACGUCCGUCGUGAAGAGGGAAACAACCCAGACCGCCAGCUAAGGUCCCAAAGUCAUGGUUAAGUGGGAAACGAUGUGGGAAGGCCCAGACAGCCAGGAUGUUGGCUUAGAAGCAGCCAUCAUUUAAAGAAAGCGUAAUAGCUCACUGGUCGAGUCGGCCUGCGCGGAAGAUGUAACGGGGCUAAACCAUGCACCGAAGCUGCGGCAGCGACGCUUAUGCGUUGUUGGGUAGGGGAGCGUUCUGUAAGCCUGCGAAGGUGUGCUGUGAGGCAUGCUGGAGGUAUCAGAAGUGCGAAUGCUGACAUAAGUAACGAUAAAGCGGGUGAAAAGCCCGCUCGCCGGAAGACCAAGGGUUCCUGUCCAACGUUAAUCGGGGCAGGGUGAGUCGACCCCUAAGGCGAGGCCGAAAGGCGUAGUCGAUGGGAAACAGGUUAAUAUUCCUGUACUUGGUGUUACUGCGAAGGGGGGACGGAGAAGGCUAUGUUGGCCGGGCGACGGUUGUCCCGGUUUAAGCGUGUAGGCUGGUUUUCCAGGCAAAUCCGGAAAAUCAAGGCUGAGGCGUGAUGACGAGGCACUACGGUGCUGAAGCAACAAAUGCCCUGCUUCCAGGAAAAGCCUCUAAGCAUCAGGUAACAUCAAAUCGUACCCCAAACCGACACAGGUGGUCAGGUAGAGAAUACCAAGGCGCUUGAGAGAACUCGGGUGAAGGAACUAGGCAAAAUGGUGCCGUAACUUCGGGAGAAGGCACGCUGAUAUGUAGGUGAAGCGACUUGCUCGUGGAGCUGAAAUCAGUCGAAGAUACCAGCUGGCUGCAACUGUUUAUUAAAAACACAGCACUGUGCAAACACGAAAGUGGACGUAUACGGUGUGACGCCUGCCCGGUGCCGGAAGGUUAAUUGAUGGGGUCAGCGCAAGCGAAGCUCUUGAUCGAAGCCCCGGUAAACGGCGGCCGUAACUAUAACGGUCCUAAGGUAGCGAAAUUCCUUGUCGGGUAAGUUCCGACCUGCACGAAUGGCGUAAUGAUGGCCAGGCUGUCUCCACCCGAGACUCAGUGAAAUUGAACUCGCUGUGAAGAUGCAGUGUACCCGCGGCAAGACGGAAAGACCCCGUGAACCUUUACUAUAGCUUGACACUGAACAUUGAGCCUUGAUGUGUAGGAUAGGUGGGAGGCUUUGAAGUGUGGACGCCAGUCUGCAUGGAGCCGACCUUGAAAUACCACCCUUUAAUGUUUGAUGUUCUAACGUUGACCCGUAAUCCGGGUUGCGGACAGUGUCUGGUGGGUAGUUUGACUGGGGCGGUCUCCUCCUAAAGAGUAACGGAGGAGCACGAAGGUUGGCUAAUCCUGGUCGGACAUCAGGAGGUUAGUGCAAUGGCAUAAGCCAGCUUGACUGCGAGCGUGACGGCGCGAGCAGGUGCGAAAGCAGGUCAUAGUGAUCCGGUGGUUCUGAAUGGAAGGGCCAUCGCUCAACGGAUAAAAGGUACUCCGGGGAUAACAGGCUGAUACCGCCCAAGAGUUCAUAUCGACGGCGGUGUUUGGCACCUCGAUGUCGGCUCAUCACAUCCUGGGGCUGAAGUAGGUCCCAAGGGUAUGGCUGUUCGCCAUUUAAAGUGGUACGCGAGCUGGGUUUAGAACGUCGUGAGACAGUUCGGUCCCUAUCUGCCGUGGGCGCUGGAGAACUGAGGGGGGCUGCUCCUAGUACGAGAGGACCGGAGUGGACGCAUCACUGGUGUUCGGGUUGUCAUGCCAAUGGCACUGCCCGGUAGCUAAAUGCGGAAGAGAUAAGUGCUGAAAGCAUCUAAGCACGAAACUUGCCCCGAGAUGAGUUCUCCCUGACUCCUUGAGAGUCCUGAAGGAACGUUGAAGACGACGACGUUGAUAGGCCGGGUGUGUAAGCGCAGCGAUGCGUUGAGCUAACCGGUACUAAUGAACCGUGAGGCUUAACCUUACAACGCCGAAGCUGUU
rnacentral:rRNA from 1 species